rnacentral:lncRNA from 1 species
GUGAGUCUGAAGAAUGUAUGUUUGGUUAAGUAGUAUGCUGAAUUCUGGUGUUUAGUGUGAUUGUGUUCAAAGAGACCUGUUUAGAAUUAACUGUGAAAUAUGGUGCAACAAUAGUAAGGAAUGCAGUGGGUGCCUUUCUGCUGUUAUGGUACUCCAUUAACAACUUCUGCUGUGCUUGGCUGCCUUUCAUUGUUACGCUUUAUGGUUUACACUAACAUUGUAGAUGUAAGUGGCGUCCCUUCUACAACAGUUGCCCAAGGCCUUAGCAACGAUGAUGGUGUAUUUUGAGCAGAUACCGGUUUAGUUCACAUUAAUAUCUGCUAGACAGGUUGUAGUGUGCUGUGGUCUCUUCUCUGACUUUGGACAGAGUUUUUAUCUAGGUGGAAAAAGGAACCGGGUCGUGUGCUUGAGCUUGUGGGCCUACACUGGCUGAGGGCAUGCUUGGUCCUACGGGCUGCCCCUUGUUGUCUUAGCUGCAGCGACACUAAGUCAUUCUGGGUACUGCAGAAUGUCCUGUAAAAGGUGGUUGGGUGAAGGCACUUUAGGUCAUUAAGUUGAGUGGACUGUAUUUGUGUGCAUGUGUGUGCAAAAUUUGGUUUUAGGAAAUUUAAAUUUAUGGUAUGUGCUAUUUGUGAGAUGUAAGUUCAUGGUGUUGAGUGUUUUUUAUUUGCUUUUUUAUAGAGUCAGGGUCUUUUAAGAGAAGAAUUUUAUUUAUUUAUUUUAAUGGCAGCAAAGUUUUAUUAAAGGUAGGAAAAGGCUCUGCAGAGAGAGUUUGGGCCAAGUAAAAGUAGGAAAAUAAGUGCCCUGACAAUGUGAGGGCAGCCACCCUGCAAGGGAACACAGUGGCCAUAGGGCAGAAUUUUAGAAGCCCUUUUUUCCUUUGCCACUUAAGGCUUGAGAAUGGAGAUUUAGAAAGCCUUUGGGUAGUGAAUUGCUUUAUUAAUCAGAUGAAAACUGUGGGUUCUCUUUCCAGAAAAAUACGUAUUCAGUUCAACAAAUUUAUUCAGCCUGUAUUUAUUGAAUAGUCACUAUCUGCCAGGCAUAGUUUAUAGUGUUAUGAUAUACUAGUGAACAAAAUAGAAAAAAUCAAAACAAAAAACAGCCCAAAAAGGAAACCUCUGUGGAGGUUAUAUUCUAGGGAGUCAAUAAGCUAAGAAAAAAAAUACUGUGUAGUAUAUUAGAAUUUGAUCAAUACUGUGGAAGAAUAGAAGAUGUAAAGGCACUUCAAAGUAGGGGGACAAUGGUGGUUGUUGCAAUUUAAAUAAAGACAUCAGGAUAGGCCUAGAUAAGUGAGAGGUGGGAGGAUCAGAAGUUUGAGCCCAGCCUGGGCAACUUAGUAAGACUGGGUCUCAGAAAGGCCUGGGGAUGGAGCUCAGUGUUAGAGUGCCCCUGGGUUCCGCCACCAGUAUCCCAAAAAAGAAGGAAAGGAGCUAGACCUUGUAAAAAGCAUGGUAUUUGAGCAGUAGAUUAAGGCGGUGCAGGAGUUAGUUAGUUGGUGGAGAGGUCUUCAAGUAGCCAUAGGGAAGACAACAUGAUGGGAGCAGAAUAAGCAAGGAUAAGAGCAGAAUAUCACCUUCCUAGGGCUGCAUAACCAUUUACCACAAAUUGGGUGGCUUAAUACAAAAAAUUUGUUAUCUCACAGUCUUGAAGGGGAGAAGUCUGAAAUCAAGGUGCUGGCAGGGUGAUUCCAUCUGGAGGAUCUGAGGGAGAGUCUGUUCCAUGCUUUUCUCCUGGCUAUCAGCAACCCUUGGUGUUCUUGGCUUAUAGCUGCAUCCCUCCGGUCUUCAUUUCUGUCUUCACAUCUCCUCCUCCUCUUGCAUGUCAUCUCCCUCUGCCUCACUUCAUCAGGACCUCUGUUACUGAAUUUAAGGCUCACCCAAAGUCUAGGAGGAGCUCAUCUUGAGUUUUUUUUUUAAAAGACAGGCCUCACUAUGUAUUUCAGGCUGGGUGAACUCACUGUGUGGCCCAGGCUGGCUUUAAAGUCAUAGCAGUCCUGCCUCAGGCUCCGAAGUGCUGGGAUUACAGGUGUGUGGCCAGCUUCAUUCUGAGGUUUUAAAAUUACUUACAUCUGCAAAGACCAUUUUUACAAAUUUUUCCAAUCACAUUUAUAGGAAUUGGAGAUUAAGAUUGGACUUGUCUUUUGGGGGACCAGUAUUCACCCACCUACAUCUGUGUGGCCUCCUAGGAUGGAUGCAAAAUGUAGCAUGUACUGCAAAGAGGUAAGUAUCCUGUUGGAUUGAGUGGGAGCUGUUGGCUGGCACACAGGUCUCCGUUUUCUGUAUCUAGCAGGUGAGGUAACUCCUUCUCUUGUACUUUAUUUUCUGGUUUCUUUGACAGCAGUGCUGUCUAACUCUGUUGCACCCUGGGUGGCGUUGCUGUCCUAGAUCGGAUACUGUUUAUCACGGUGCACUUCACAAUGUGUGUUUGAGCCCCGCAGGUAGCAGUGGGUGAUCCAGAGUUACAGGGGCUGGAAGAGCAUGUCAGGGUAGCACAUUGGGUUUGCCACUUUGUGUGCUCCUUCUCUCUACUGUGCUGUUGUUUUAGUUUCUGCUUUCUUUUUGCUUUUUAAAAAAUUUUGCUGUACAGGCUAAUGGGCUUCAUUUGGCAAUUUGUACAUGCACACGACAUACUUUGAUCACCCCAUCCCCUUUGCAGUGCCCCCCGCCCCAGUUCACGAGUGUUUUGGAGGGGAUUUCAAUGCAUAUAAUGUAUUUUGCUUGUGUCCAUCACUCCUACUGCCCACCCUCACACCCCCGUCUUUUUGUCUACCUGGCCAUGUUCUGUAGUUUCUUCCAAGCAUAUAAUGCCAUCAGGACUAGCCAGGGCCAAGAAGAAGGAAAAAACAGUACACAGGAGGGCACUGGAGCCCAUAAAGAUUGUCAUUUACCCUACGGCUCCAGUCAAAUUAGCUGCAGAGCUGGCAUUGGAACCCAAUUUUCUUAAUGCAUAAGUCAGUUUUUUUUCCAAAUGAAUAAGCAUUUCCAUGUAAUUAUGUAAUUUCAUCUUGGUUAUAAAUAAUGCAUAAUGUUUCAUAAGCGUUUUCUACUUUCUACUAUUGUAAGUAAAACUAUGGGUGUUUUUUCAGUCAAGAACUAUUUAUCAGGCACUAAAAAUAAACAAAAGAAUCUCUGCCUCAUGGAGUUUAUAUUCUGACAGAGAAGUAUCAUCUCAAUUACAGUUGUUUCCUUAGGAUAGAGUAUAAGUGAAUUCUCAUAUUACAAAUGAAAAUGUUUAGUAAGUGCAUUUCUAAACAUUAAAAUCAACUUUCUCUCUCUUAAAUUCUGUUUCAGAAGUCUACUACUGUUUUUCUUUUCUUUUCUUUUCUUUUCUUUUCUUUUCUUUUCUUUUCUUUUCUUUUCUUUUCUUUUCUUUUUUCUUUUCUUUGAGGCAGGGUCUCCCUUUGUAGUUCAGGCUGGACCUGAACUCACUAGAUAGCCCAGGCUGGCCUCGAACUCUCGGGGAUCCUCCUGCCUCAGCCUCCCGAGUGCUGGGAUCCCAGGUGUGCGCCACUUCGCCUCGUGUCUUUCUUUGGUGUUUGUUGGCCGUGGUGGCGCACACUUGUAAUACCAGUUAUUUGGGAGGUUGAAGAGGAGGAUUGCAGGUUUGAGCCCAGCUUGGGCAACUUAGUGAGAUUUUGUCUCAAAAUGAAAAUAAAAAGGGGCAGGGGUGUAGCUCAGUGGUAGAGUGCUUGCUUCAUGGGAGACCUAGGGUUGAGUUCCCAGGAUGGGGCGGUAAUAAUGUUUGCUCCCUCAUACACAUGUGCUACCACAAAUUAAAAUGAGUAGGAACCUCUGACAAAAGUUAAGUAUUGUUAAUUAUUGAUAAUUUGGGUAAUUGCUUUUUUUCACUGUAUUGCUAAAAAUGUAUAAAAUAUUUAUGAUUUUUGGUGUGGCUGGGAAAAUUUUCUAUUUAUUGUAAAUAACCAAUAAAAUCUAAAUUAAAGUCAGAUUUCAAAUUGAUUGUAUUUAUGCCUUGGUUUGUAGAUUUUCCCCUUCUUUCAUUUCUAGGAAUUCUCUAGGGAGUUAGUAGCAACCUUAAUAAAAUGGUGUAACUUAGGGAAGGCAUUAGAUGUUAUUCAUCCUACUCUGAGAUGGAUGCCUAGUUUGAACUUUCAUUUUGUUGUGUGUGUUUAGUAACAACAGCAGCAGCAGGAACAACAAAUAUUCCUUUAAAAAAGUUAUGACCGAGUCUCAGAUUGAAGGAGGGUUUGAUGACUGAUUCCUGUUGCUGAGUUCAGCAGACUUUAAGAUGGAAGUCUAUUCAGAAGGAAUUCACACUAGGAAUUCCUAGUGGUCCCGGAACACAUCCAAGGAUAAAGAGGAACUACCGUAGAAGUUUUAAAAGUAUCUAAAAUAAAACUUCAGAGCUCUUCAUUCAAUCUUUUGAGAGCUUCAUGUAAACCAUCAUGUGGGAUGAAUCAGCUGCACAUGCCAGCUCUUCCUUCCUGUGAGUUCCCAGCAUUUCAUUUCCUGAAUUUCUUGUGUGGAGUGGAGAGCAGAGCUCAGAAACAUGGCAUCCCCUGCUUUGUGACCUGAGAGGGUGUUGCAGGGCCAGCUAUAUAGCAAAUACCUUAGGCAUUGUUGGCUGUCUGGGCUCUGUUACAGCAACGCAGCUCUGCCACGGUAGUGGGAAGCAGCCAACCACACAGGUAUGGAAACAUGGGGAGGCUGUGUUCCAGGAAAGCUUUAUUUACAAAAACAGGUUGUGGUCUCUUGGCCCGUGAUCCCUAGUUUGCUAUCCUUUGCUCUAGAGUGCAUGGAAAUCUUAAUCUUUACUGGGUUCCAAAGGAUGUUGUUAUUUUAUUUACCAGAUUGGAACCUCAGGAUUACUUUUAUUAGAUUUCUUUCAAAAUUAAUUAAUAGAGAAAAAAAUUAAUUAAUAGAGGGCUGGGGAUUUAGCUCAGUGGUGCCGCUGUCUGCCUCACAAGUGCAAGGUCCUGAGUUUGAUCCCUGGCAUCUCCCCCCACCCCAUUAAUUAAUAGAUAUUUGGGGUGAAACAUUGCAUUGUAGUUUUGGUUUCUUUUUGGGGACAUGCUUCUUUGGCAUUGAAAGAUACAGAUUUUUUUUUUUAUUUCUCUAAGCAAGAUUUAAGCAGGCUUGAUUUUUUUUAGUCUUAUGUGACUCUCAAUAAAAAACAAACUAAAAACCAAACCAACCUUGGUCACUUACUAUAAUAACUGAUAUAGCUAUACUACUGGUGGCAUAUGGUAGAGCAUACCUUUUAAUAAAUUGUUAAAUAUAAAGCACAGAAAGUCUCAAGUUAUGGUAUGUUAUAGGUGCCUGUGGGGUUAUUAGAUUAGAGGGAUGAUUUCAAUUUAGUUUGAAUCCUUACCAGAUUGCUGAUUGUAGGCUCAGGAUAUUGGUGUGUUUGUGCUUUACAGCUACUACAGGUCCUGGUUGCUAUGGCUUCUCAUUAGCUUCUUAAGAUCCCUUUGGAGCCCUGGUUGCCUGGCAGGAGAAAAGGCAGAAGCUGCUAGAAGCUGUGAGGACAGAUGCAAGCUGCAGAAGUAGCCCCUGGGGGAACACUGGGUAUAUUGACCAAGGUUUGUGUGUGUGGUCACAUAUGAACUUUCGGUUUUCCUAGGCGGAGCUCCUGGUCAUACGAGUUAAUUACUGUGUGCUGCAAGUGAUCUUUGUUUUAGGGAUUCGGCAAUUUGAACUCUUUAAUAAAUUUUUAAAAAUGCAAAUUAGGAAAUUUUGUUUUGAGUGCAUUCCUGCCUUUCAUGAAAGUGCUUUUGACCUUUAAUAAUAAUGAGUAAUUGAAAUAUUAUAGGUUUUAAUAAUGGCUACUACUAAUCCAUUAAAAAGGUCAAUCUACAGUGAAAGCUUGCAUAAUUAGAAGAGUAUUAUGAUUAGAAUUUAAUUAUUUCAGGCUCACAAGAAUAUUAGACUCUAGAGGGCAGUGUAGCUCAGCAUGUUCAUGCUUCUGCUGACAGUGAAAUUUUGCUUUGGAAAAGUAAUUUACUUUGGAAGAACAAUCUAGGUAUUCUGAACUUUUCCUUACCAUAUGGUGACCCAGUUUAAUAGAAAUGUGAGUUUUGGAAAGAAGUGGUCUGGUGUGGCUUAGAAGGUUAGAUAAUACAUCAUGAUUUAUUUGGCCCCAAGGAAUAGCCUUUCUUCAUUUAAAACACAGUGUGGUAGCACAUGUGCUGUGAUUUCAGCAUUUGGAAGGUUGAGGCAGGAGGAUUGAGAUUUCAAGGCUGGCCUGGGCUAAUUGACUUCGAGGUCCUGUCUUGGGAGAAAUAACCAAUAAAACAUUUUGACUUCAGAAACACUGGAAUUCUGUUACUGAUUCAGCUAAAUUGAAUUGAUACUGCUUUUCAGGCCUCUAUGGAACAUGAAGCAAAAGGAAUAGUACAUGUUGUGUUUUCAGAUCUUUUUUGGGGAAGGAUAUGAAUGUACCCUCUGUUAGAGAAUUAUUCUGACAUACGUUUUUGGUAGUUUUUUAUUUUCCAAAUAAUACUAAUUAAAAAUAUUUACACAGCUACUCCUAAGUCCACAGUUUAGCACUCUUAUUUGUAUGGUUUUAAAAGUUUUAGCACUAGGGCCAGGGAUGUGUAGCUCAGCAGCGCUGCACUGCGCCUGCUUGGCAAGUGCAAGGUCCUGAGUUCAAUUCCCAGUACCAGGGGAAAAAAAAAGUUUAUAGCACAAGAUCUUUAUGUUAAGUAUUGGGGGAAAAAUUCAGAAUAAAGCCUGAUAUAUUAUAUACAUGUCUUUCUCUGUAUUUUAUUUUUUGGUACUGGGAAUUGAACUCAGGUCCUUUUGCUUGCCAGGCAGGUGUGGCGCCACUGAGCUACACAUCCCUGGCUGUAUUUUAUUUAAAAUAUAUUGAUUUUUAAAUGAUGGUCAUCUUUUUUUCCCUCUGGUGGUAAAAUAUUAGUGCAAAUUUUCUUCAACAUAAAGUUUACCACAGAUGUAAAUGAAUUUUCUCGAUUGAAAAUGGCCCUUCACCUGCCAUUCUGAGACAUUUUUAAACAACCCUUAGAGUGGAAUUCUUGAAACCAGUGCUUGAUUGGUUGAUAUCUCUUAGUGCGGAGCCUUUCUAAACUUUUCAAACAUAUGCAUUUAGCAAAAUCUAAAACAUAAAUUAUGUCAAUUACCUUUUCUUUCAAUCCUUAAACUUGUGUGUAUUUUCAGGGAAAUCUAGUCAUAUAUUUUUGGCACAUUUACACAUAAGCCAUCAUAUGUGAUUAGGAAAGAACUAUUUUGAAGUCUAAAAGAGUUUUUGGAGCCUUUAAUUUUGUUUCUUGCUUCUAAGCAGAAAGUGGGAAUUACAAAGGCCAAGUUAAUGAAUCUCCUGGAAUUUUGGGUUGAAGUUUUUAAAUUAUGAACUGCAUUUUUUUUUUCGGAGUGAAGGUUUUACUAGGUCGUUUAGGCUGUUUUGAAGUGAUUAUAUAGCUCAGGCUGGCCUCGAAUUCAUGGUGAUCCUAUUGCCUGAAUUGCAAAUUUGGGAAACAGUUUUUGUUUCUGUGAUUCUAAUGUUAUUAUAGUGUGGAAAUUGGUAUAUUCAGUGGUUAAAUGUGACAGGCGUUUGAGAUUUUAAGUUCAAAUUUUGACCUUAGAAUGCUUUUUUGGGGGGGUGGGGAGACAGAGUCUCACUAUGUAGUUUGGGCUUCCUUGAGGCCAUGAACUAUGUAGCUUCAAAACUUUAUCAGUCCUGCCUCAGUUUCCUGAGUGCUGGAAUUACAGGUGUGCACCGUCACACCUGGCUAGAAUGACUUUAAACAAAAUGUAGUUAUUCAAUGUUUCCUUUUUCUUUGUCUGAUUGAGAAUAAUUCAAGGUUACCAUUCAUGCUUGAAAUAUGUGUUUGUUAAAGAAUGUUGAAAUUCUUGGAUGAAAGAUCUUAUACAAGAGCAGAUAAUACAAAUUUAAGAAAAUACCAAAUGGAGAUUCUGCUUUUGGUCAUUUCACAUUGGGUUGUAGAUAGCAGCUAAAGUGAUAUUCAUUCAUAUUCUCUCUUCUUCCCUUUCUGUCUCUGUCUCUGUCUGUGUCUCUCUGUCUCUGUCUGUCUAUCUAUCUAUCUAUCUAUCUAUCUAUCUAUCUAUCUAUCUAUCUCUGUCUCUCUUGAAUUCAGGGCAUUCUACCAUUCAGCUACACCCCCAGAUCUUUUUAUUUUUUUUUGGUACGGGGGAUUGAACUCUCAGGUCCUUCUGCUUGUGGGGCAGGUGGUGGAACCACUGAGCUAAAUCCCUGGCCCUCUCUUUAGUUUUUAGUUAUGAGACAAGGUUUUGUUAAGUUGCCCAGGAUGGCUUCAAGUUUGUGAUCCUCUUUCCUCAGCUUCCUAAGUAGCUGGGAUUAUAGACUGCACUGCCACACUUGGCUUCCUUAGUCUUCCUGUUUUGUCUAGUUAUAUAAGAGAAUUAUUCCAUUGUCCCAUUGCUUUCUACAUCUAGUUGGAUAAAAUAGUUAUUUGACCUAGUUACAAGUAUUUCUUAUUUGGGAAGAAACAAAUCAGGAGUUUUUUAUAGAAAUAAUAAAUCGUGUGUUAGUUUUGUUAUUGGUAUUGCAUGUAACUUCACCUCUGGCAAUACCUGUAUAUAUCCUUCCCCCCAUUCUAGUCACAGAGAACAAUAUAAAAUAGCUAUUUGUAUGAAAUAUACAACAUACAUCAGAACUUGAAAUUCAGUGUUUAAAAAAUUUACAUAGAAUUUGUGUAGUUAAGGAAAGUUUUUUUUUUUUUUAAAGAAAAAAGAAAGAUCUGUUUUGGAGAAGUUGACUGUUCAUUUACAUAGUAUCUAGAAAUAGAAGGCAAACUUAAAAAAAAAAAAUGGAAUGCUUCACGAAUUUGCCUGUCAUCCUUGUGCACGGGCCAUGCUAAUCUCCUCUGUAUCGUUCCAAUUUUAGCAUAUGUGCUGCUGAAGUGAGCAUGAAGGUGAACAUUUUAAGUAGCUAUAAGUAGAGAAAGUAACUAAAUCCCUGAUUUUACAAAGGAUCUGGGAGAUAACUGCCUAAUUCUCAAAUGAAAUUAACAGACUUACUAAAUGCUUGCUUUAUUCUAGCAAGUGACAGAGAAUUGCUUUGCUAUAGAUAGCAUUACUUAGGUUUUCAAAAAUUUGAAGAUAAUAUGGGCAAAGUCUGGUACAGUAUUUUGAAACAUACCGAAAAUUUCUUUUGUACUAAGAUUUAAGUACUAUUUAAAUGUAUUCUAUUCAACAUAUGCAACUCAAUUGAUUUCUCAUACAUUGAAAAACAACUGUAUGCACAAUACCUCAUCCUAGUCCUUUGGAGCAAAUUUUAGUUACUGUUUUCCCCCAGUUUACCUAAAUCCAUUAGUUUGAUUUCUCCAAUUUUCCUUAUUUCCCCAGUUUACCUGUAUGUUUCACCAUCUUGUUGAAUUUGUUUUUGGUUUUGUUUUUUUGGGUGGCAGUAGCUCCUUUGGCUUGAGAAAAAAUACUCUCCAGUUCCAAGUAUAAAAUACCUUGAAUCGUCUGUAUGAAUGUCUUGUUCUCUGUGGACACAUACCUUUCCUUAUUACCUAAGAGGCUGCCUUGUUAUUGUUAAUUGUUAGUUUGAGAUCUGGGAUAAAUCACCAAAUGGAGAUGUCAGCUAAUCAGUGCUUCCAGCUUCAGGUUUGCCCAUCAGAGGACAGUUCCUUCCAGUAAUUACACCCUUCUGGUCAAAUUGCUGUCCACAGCUCUCUCAUUAUGUGUUUUGUAACUCCUUAAAUAGCUAGAAUAGGAGCAGGCAAGCUUUUUAUGAAAAUGGUCAGAUGAUAAAUGUUUUUUUUAUUUGUUUGUUUUAAAAUUUUUGUUUUUUGGUACUGGGGAUCGAACUUGGAACUUUGUGCUUGCGAGGCAGGCGAUGGAACCACUGAACUACAUCCCCAGCCCUAAAUGUUUUUGGUUUUGUGGGGCAAAUAAUCUUUGUUGCAAUCAUUCAGCCUUGUCAUUGUCAGACAGGAGCAGCCAUGGACAGUAUGUAAAUAAACAGGCGUGACUAUUUUCAAUAAAAUUGUAUUAAUGGACACUGACAUUUAGAUAUUUUGUAAUUUUCAUGCAUCACAGAAUAUUAUUCUUCUUUUGAAACCAUUCUUCACUCAUAAUAGGCACACAAAAGCAGGCUGUGGGCUGGGUUUGACCUAUGGCCAUGUUUUGCCAAUCCCUUAGAUAGAAAUCCAGAAAGGAGGUACAUAGAAGUGGUUGUUCAUUGACAACUUUAAUUUUUUUUUUUAUGGUACCUGGAAUUGAGCUCAGGACCUUGGGCUUGCCAGGCAGGCGUGGCGCCACUGAGCUACAUCCCUGGCCCUUGACGAUUUUAACUCAUGCAUAUUUACAGGGUUGUUUUUGUAGCUACUAAAUGUGGAAUGAAUGCAUUUGUUAAUAUGAUCGGCAAUGUGAAUAACAUGAUUUCUUUUUAUUUUAUUUAUUUAUUUUUUUUGGUAACCGGGGAUCCAACUCGGGUCCUUGCGCUUUCGAGGCAGGUGCCGGAACCACUGAGCUAAAUCCCUAGCCCAAAUAACUUGAUUUCUAAUGGCAACUUCAGGGUCUAGAGAUAGAAUACUUUUGGAUGAUACAAGAUUAAAGCUGGUUUUCUUCAUCAGUAGAUGCGGGAAAUUGCCAAGGUCUGUGGAGCAGAAUCUUUGAUUUACAAGUUGAAAUAAGGCCAGAAUACACUAGAAUUAGAACUACAUAGGGUUGUUUGAUAUAAGAGCUUCAUUAAAGGGAAGGAACUGCCUUCAUGGCUGUUUCGGCUUGUGAUUUCUGUUUUGGUGUAUUCUGUCCCAACCACUUGAUUUGUGCAGGGUGAUCAUGAUAGUUCAGAUCUAGAAAGUAGGUUGUCUCACAGUUUGAGCCUUUCUUAGCAUUACAGCUUAUCUGGAGGACUGAAAGAGCCAAACUGUCUUUGUACAGAUAGGGGCUACUUUCCUUCUGCUUACGCCUAAAAACCCAGCCUCUGUCUGUGUCAGCAUUUGUUGGAACUAAAUAUUGCACGGACACUAUAUAUUUCACAGUAGACAUAUUUUUUCUACUUAACAUUAAGCAGUUGCUGAAUUUGAAGAACUGUUGCUUCUGUUGAUCCUCACUCUGACCAAAAUUCAUGUACACAGCACAACCUGAAUUAAUAGUGCUCAAACUCAUUUAGCCCUGAGAAUGGUUUAAUCAAAGGUGAACCUUUUAAAGAUCUUAUGAGGCAGCAUCCUAAAACAAAUUGAAGAAAAGAAAAGUAGUUAGCACUUAAAAUGAUUUUUUUGGUCAGAGUUUAUAUUUCUCUUUUUAAAAGCUUUCUUAAACAGCUCUGUGGUUGUUCCUAUGUUCUAUUUAGAUAGAAUAAAGAAAAUCCUAGGGCGGGGGAUUUAGCUCAGUGGUUCUGGCGCCUGCCUUGCAAGCAUAAGGUCCUGAGUUCAAUCCCCAGUACCAAAAAAAAAAGAAAAUCCUAUUUGUAUACUUUAUAUUGAACUGCAGGUAUUCAGCCUAAUUACUAAUCUGUUUUUGGUGAAAGCCCAUUCACAGGGCAAAUUAUUUAUCUUUCUUAUUUCUCACCUGAAUGUGUGUUGUGGCUAACAGGUUAGAUUUUCCUCCACUUUGUUGUCAUUCUGCAAACCCAACACCCCCCCACCCCCCGCCGAAAUGGAUGGCUAAGUUGAUAUUUGUCAGGCUUUUAGGACUGGGCAGCUGUAAGUGCUGAUCUGCAUGACCUUCUCAGCACCCUCUUUCUUUUUUUUUUUAAUUCUUUUAUUGAUACAUUUUAGGUAUACAAUACGUUUAUAGGUACAAGCAUUGGGUGCUUGUACCUGUACGUGAUGUAUCUUGAUUCUUAUUUUUUUCCCCAUUACCUGUGCGCCCUUCACCCCCUUCACCCUUCCCUAUUUACAUAGACUUUGUUUCCAUUUUUUUUAUUUUCUCAUAAUUUUUCCUUUCCCUUCUUUUCUUUGCCCUUCCCCUCCCACCACCCCUCCACCUUUGGACCUUUUCCUAUUUCAAAUUAUCAGUUAUGCGUUUUAAUCAUUUUAAUACUUAUUUACACUUUCAGUUUCUCACACUAGAGAAACUAUUUGGUAUUUACAUGUGUGUCCUAUUUAUUUCACUUAAGAGUAUGACCUCAAUAUGCACCCAUUUAGCUGUAAAUGUCUCUAGUUUCUCAUUCUUUAUGGCUGAGUAGUACUCCAUUUUAUUAAAAAACCACAUCUUUAUCCAGUUUCCAGUUGAUGGGCACUUGGGCUGUUUCCAGCCUUUAUCAGCACCCUCUUUCUAAUGAGAGCCCUGAUUGAUUUGUGGUUUGGGUAGUUGGCAAUAGGUAGGUAAAGGAUCAGAGGGAAACUUGCAUUGUCUGAUUAAUUGAAUCUCCAUGUCAAAUAGCUUUUCAUUUUGAAGUGUGGAGCCUGAGUUUAAAUCCUGGUUCCUAAAUUAACUAUAUGGGUUCAGUGAAGAGAUAUUAUUCAACACCUUUGUCCCAGCUUUGCUCAUUUAUAAAGUGGAGCUAAUAGUAGUACUUGUCCUGUAAGAAUAUUAUCAUUUAUAAAAUAUUUAGAGUCAGUGCUUGACACAGGGUUAGUGCUUCCUGAAUAUUAUUGUUAGUAUCAUUAUCACCAGCAUCAUUUCACUCAUUUCACAGUUGGAUGGAAAACAGUUGAUGUUUUAAGCAGGAAGUUACCAGAAUUGAGGUUUGAAGACACUGGUUUGAUAGCAAAGGGGAAAUUGGAUGUGGUUCUGGUUAAGCAAAGGUAGGCAGGAAGACCAUUGUUAUGGAUUGUGUUCUUGAAAAUCUAUGUAUUGAAGUCCUCUCCCCAUGUACCGUAGAAUAUAACAGUAUUUGGAAAGAGUCAUUGUAGAUGUAAUUAACGAGAUGAGGUUAUUAGUGUGGGUCCUAAUCCCACAUGACAACUGUUAAAACAGUGUCAGAGAGAUCUAGAGAGCAGACAGCCCUCAGUAAACCGAGGAAAAAUGCCUUUUCUCACAGCCCUCAGAAGGGACCUGUGCUGUGAACAUCUCCAUUUACUAAGUUGCCAACGCUGGGCUUGAAUUUAUGGUUUUCCUGCCUCAGCCUCUCAGAGUGCUGGAUUGCAAGGCAUAUGCCACCACACCUGGCAGUUAUGGCAGUUUUGUUAGGGCAGCCCUAGGAAGCUAGACGGAUAAUGUCUGAACCGAGACCAUGUUGGUGCACCUGAAGAGGUGAAGGAAGAUCUUUAAAAUGCAGAAUCAGUAGUUAGUCACCUAUUGGAUCUGAGGAGGGGGAGGAUUUUCCUUGAGUCCGUGUGGUACAGUUUACUGUUACCGAGAAUACGUGAGAAGGGAAAGUUUCUGGCAUGUUGUGUUUGAGGGACAUGCGGGGGAUUUCAUUUCUAAGACUUUUAUUUGAACUAAGAAUCACUCUUCCCUAGUUUCUUGGAGCUUAUUUUUUUUAAAAGGAAGCAUUUUAUUAUUUUUGAAGCAAAAACUAUUAGAGCUGUUAUUUAAAAAUAAACGUCUCUCACUUAAGUGCUCGGUUUGAAAUCAGGGUGUGUGAAGGGUCCAGGUUGCUUGAGGAAUUUCUUUUUUUUGGUGCCAGGGAUCGAACUUGAGACCUUGCGCUUGCGAAACAGGGGCCAGAACCACUGAGCUAAAUCCCUGGCCCCUCGAGGAACUUCUUUACAUGGUUCCAGUGACCUUCCCAGUCUUGGAGCUUAUUUUUAAAAGUAUCUGAUUUUUAAAUUUAUUGCAUAAAAAUAUUACCUCUUAUUAGUUCUAAUAUUUUGUUCAUUUUUUUGUACAGAUUUUUCCCAGUUAAGCAAUCAUAUUGUCUGCAAAUAAUUUUUUAAAAAAAAAUCUGUUCAGCCAACUGUUAGUCCUCUGGUCUCAGCUUCCCAAAGUGCUGUGAUUACUGGUGUGUACUACCACACCUGGCAGAAAGGACUUUAAAUAGUGUUAAGGGAGGUUUUUUUUUUUUUUUUUGUACCUGGGAUCAAAUUUAGGACCUUGUGCUUGCAAGGCAGGAGCGGUGCCACUGAGCUACAUCCUCAGCCUAAAGAAGUAUUUUUUUAAUGGACAUUGAUAUCAUUUUGCCUCUUUGGUAAGGUCUUCCUUAUUAAUAGUACGCACUAUCCUCUUCUCUGCUGCACUAGCACUGUCUUCUUCUCUGCUGCUGUGUAGUGCUCCUCACUGAAUUAAGGAUGGAAGAUUCCCUCAAGGAAGGAGAUUCCUAUCUGCCAAUUCUAAGUACAGUGUUCUUGCUCCAUAAGAAGCCAACUUGUUUUUUGGUACCAGAGAUCGAACUCGGGACCUUCCGCUUGCGAUGCAGGCUGCAGAACCACUGAGCUAAAAUCCCCGGCCCUGCUUUUGCUUGUUUUUAUUUUUAUUUUUUAUCUUUUUGGUACCAGGGUUGAACUUGGGUCCUUGCGCUUGCGCAGCAGACGGCGAAACCACUCAGCUAAAUCCUGGGCCCUGUUUUUAAAGACAAAAGUCUUGCUAUACAUUCAGGGCUGGUCUUGAGCUCACUGUGUAGCCCAGGGUGGUCUUGAACUCACAGUUCUUUUGCCUCAGCCUCCCUAGUGCUGGGAUUACAGUAGGCUAGUACUGGGAUUUCAGGAGUGUGCCCCCACACCUAGCUACAGACUUUCUUUUUUUUUUUGGUACUGGGGAUCGAACUUGGGUUCUUGUACUUACGAGGCAGGCAUCACAACCACUGAGCUAAAUCCCCGGCCCCUAGCUUCAGAUUCUUAAUUUACUAAAUAAUAUGCAAAUGUGUGCAAACACUUUUAAUUUGCAUUUUGGCUGUUUUACCUCUUUGAAGGUAGUUGCUUCAAAUGGUCCCUUGAAAGAAUUGAUGAUUUCUAUAUUGAGUUGUGGAAUUUCAUUUUGGUCAUUUUCCAGAGAAGCAGAUGAGAAAAUUACACUAAAAUUGUUUUGAUUUAUAUUUGAAUUGUGUGAAAUUUUCUGUUAACAUACAUUGCCAUAGAAGAGUCUAGAAGAUUGGUUUCUCUUUUUUUUCAGGCAUUUGUAACAAAUCUUAGGGUAGACCUAGAAUCAUCCCAUGAGGGAGGGGUUUGGUGGGACAGAUACCAAGAGGGGUAAAGGAGGAGUGAUAAUGGAAUGUCUGGUGAGAGUUUCACAGAGGUGGCUGGCCUCUGCUGGACAUGUGUCUGCUGAGGUCGCUGGGUCUUGGCACUAUGUAACAGCAUCUGAAUCGGGUCUCAGUAGGACUGAGUGGGGAAGUAUCCUGAAGAUGAGAUGGACUGCAAGAAAUGAAAGUUGUCAAGACUUGAGAGGCUUCAUUUUGUUGAUCUCUUAGCUGUACUCCUAGGUGUGCAUAGUCGCUAAUGAUGUUGCCGCCUGCUACUUCUGUCACCUCUGUCUUCCGUUGGUGCCUCAGGGACAGCUGUCUUUUCCCACUCUCUUAUUCUGAUCCAUCUGGGUUUGACACACACUGUUUUACUCCUUUACCCUCAGUCUUUUUUUACUUCAUUCCAUGUCAGGCAGUAUUUUAUGUCUAUCUUUUCUCUUUUAAUUCUUUCUUUCCUUUUUUUUGGUACUGGGAAUCGAACUUGGGUCCUUGUGCUUGGGAGGCAGGCAGCGGAACCACUGAGCUAAAUCCCUGGCCCUUUUAAUUCUUUCUUGGUUACCUCAGGAAAAUACUUCUCUUCCAAAAAACUGUCCCUGAUUAUGGCUGCCUAAAUAUAGACAGGGAAGCUAGUAAUACCUGCACUAAGGCAGACAGAGGUGCAUCAUUUUUAUUUUAUUUUAUUUUAUUUUAUUUUAUUUUAUUUUAUGUAUCGGGGAUCAAACUCGGGACCUUGCGCUUGGAAGGCAGGCACCGGAACCACUGAGCUAAAUCCCCAGCCCGAGCUGCAUUAUUUUUAAAAUAAAAUCAUUCAUUAUAAAGAACCUUUUCUUAGCCCUUGAGUAUAGCCUGAAGACUCAUUUACAGUCUCCACAAAUAGUUUCUUUUUCAUCCGUCUGUUUUUGGUCAAAUAUUAAAAUUGCAAAUUGAAAUGAUUCUUAUUCAAGGAUUUUAUAGAUAUUCAGCAAUGUUAUUUUCUGUAAUUUUUCACUGAAACACAUAUAUGGCAACCUGUUAUGGAUUUGUUGGGUUAGUGACCUAGCCUGGGACAGUAAUUACCAUUUGUAAAAUUGUGUGAAAUGUGAAUUUUAAAUAAUCUACAAGUGAACUUGGGAGCAUACUGAAGCUGUAAAUUGAGAGCAGCCUGUGUUUUAUAAGGCACAUCUAAGAAAGUCACCAUGUUUUCCUUAUUUUUCUCACCCCCCAUUAAUCGUGACCUCGUCCGUCUCAGUCCCUCGAUCUUACUCUCCCUGCUGGGGGGAGCCAAGUCCAGGCCUGGGCUUGAUCUCUUACUGAAGCGAUGCAGUAGGCCCUGAACUGCCCCAGUUCCUUCCACUCAGCACUUAGCCUCUUCUCUACACUCACAGCCAGAGUGUACAGAAGCAAAUCUGGUGCUCACUGUCUUGCUCUCACCGCCUUUUGAUGCCUUCUCCAGCACCCAUGUGAUGAGAGGGCAAGUGCUAGAUGGCAGAGCCCUUAGCCUGCUUGUCUCGGGAAUGUAUCUGAUGAAACCAGCGUGGGUCACAGAGAAAGC